rnacentral:rRNA from 1 species
GAUCCUGGCUCAGGAUGAACGCUAGCUACAGGCUUAACACAUGCAAGUCGAGGGGCAGCGGGAUUGAAGCUUGCUUCAAUUGCCGGCGACCGGCGCACGGGUGAGUAACGCGUAUCCAACCUGCCCACCACUUGGGGAUAACCUUGCGAAAGUAAGACUAAUACCCAAUGAUAUCUCUAGAAGACAUCUGAAAGAGAUUAAAGAUUUAUCGGUGGUGGAUGGGGAUGCGUCUGAUUAG